rnacentral:misc_RNA from 1 species
GAUGAAGAACGCAGCGAAAUGCGAUAAGUAAUGCGAAUUGCAGAAUUCAGUGAAUCAUCGAAUCUUUGAACGCACAUUGCGCCCUUUGGUAUUCCGAAGGGCAUGCCUGUUCGAGCGUCAUUUCACCACUCAAGCCUGGCUUGGUAUUGGGCGCCGCGGUCGAUCCGCGCGCCUCAAAGUCUCCGGCUGAGCUGUCCGUCUCUAAGCGUUGUGAUUUCAUUAAUCGCUUCGGAGUGCGGGCGGCCGCGGCCGUUAAAUCUUUCACAAGGUUGACCUCGGAUCAGGUAGGGAUACCCGCUGAACUUAAGCAUAUCAAUAAGCGGAGGA